CCUACGGGAGGCAGCAGUGGGGAAUAUUGCACAAUGGGGGAAACCCUGAUGCAGCGACGCCGCGUGAGUGAAGAAGUAUUUCGGUACGUAAAGCUCUAUCAGCAGGGAAGAACAUGACGGUACCUGACUAAGAAGCCCCGGCUAACUACGUGCCAGCAGCCGCGGUAAUACGGAGGGGGCAAGCGUUAUCCGGAUUUACUGGGUGUAAAGGGAGCGUAGACGGCAGCGCAAGUCUGGAGUGAAAUCCCAUGGCUUAACCAUGGAACUGCUUUGGAAACUGUGCAGCUAGAGUGCAGGAGAGGUAAGCGGAAUUCCUAGUGUAGCGGUGAAAUGCGUAGAUAGUAGGAGGAACACCAGUGGCGAAGGCGGCUUACUGGACUGUAACGGACGUUGAGGCUCGAAAGCGUGGGGAGCAAACAGGAUUAGAUACCCGAGUAGUC
rnacentral:rRNA from 1 species